UACGUAGGGACCGAGCGUUGUCCGGAAUCAUUGGGCGUAAAGAGCUCGUAGGCGGUCUGUCGCGUCGAAUGUGAAAACCCGGGGCUCAACCCCGGGCCUGCAUUCGAUACGGGCAGACUAGAGUUCGGUAGGGGAGUCUGGAAUUCCUGGUGUAGCGGUGAAAUGCGCAGAUAUCAGGAGGAACACCGGUGGCGAAGGCGGGACUCUGGGCAGUAACUGACGCUGAGGAGCGAAAGCAUGGGGAGCGAACAGG
rnacentral:rRNA from 1 species